rnacentral:rRNA from 1 species
GACUUAUAUUCUGUAGCAAGGUUAACCGAAUAGGGGAGCCGAAGGGAAACCGAGUCUUAACUGGGCGUUAAGUUGCAGGGUAUAGACCCGAAACCCGGUGAUCUAGCCAUGGGCAGGUUGAAGGUUGGGUAACACUAACUGGAGGACCGAACCGACUAAUGUUGAAAAAUUAGCGGAUGACUUGUGGCUGGGGGUGAAAGGCCAAUCAAACCGGGAGAUAGCUGGUUCUCCCCGAAAGCUAUUUAGGUAGCGCCUCGUGAAUUCAUCUCCGGGGGUAGAGCACUGUUUCGGCAAGGGGGUCAUCCCGACUUACCAACCCGAUGCAAACUGCGAAUACCGGAGAAUGUUAUCACGGGAGACACACGGCGGGUGCUAACGUCCGUCGUGAAGAGGGAAACAACCCAGACCGCCAGCUAAGGUCCCAAAGUCAUGGUUAAGUGGGAAACGAUGUGGGAAGGCCCAGACAGCCAGGAUGUUGGCUUAGAAGCAGCCAUCAUUUAAAGAAAGCGUAAUAGCUCACUGGUCGAGUCGGCCUGCGCGGAAGAUGUAACGGGGCUAAACCAUG